GACUAACCCAAUCACUGGACAAUGAUUGACAUUCGUGUUUAUCCUGUUCGGUUAGUCCAGUCUAAGCCCUUCGAGGGCUACGUUUAGGGGAAGUGUUAAAGUUCAUACCUUAGGGUAUUUUCCAGCCCCAAGCUCUAUA
rnacentral:sRNA from 18 species